CAGGCGCGCAAAUUACCCAAUCCCGACACGGGGAGGUAGUGACAAUAAAUAACAAUACGGGGUUCUUUAGGAUCUCGUAAUUGGAAUGAGUACAAUUUAAAUCUCUUAACGAGGAACAAUUGGAGGGCAAGUCUGGUGCCAGCAGCCGCGGUAAUUCCAGCUCCAAUAGCGUAUAUUAAAGUUGUUGCAGUUAAAAAGCUCGUAGUUGAAUUUCGGGGUUAGUAGGUUGGUCAUGCCUCUGGUAUGUACUGGUCUCACUGAUUCCUCCUUCCUGAUGAGCCGUAAUGCCAUUAAUUUGGUGUUGCGGGGAAUUUGGACUGUUACUUUGAAAAAAUUAGAGUGUUUAAAGCAAGCUAACGCUUGAAUACAUUAGCAUGGAAUAAUGAAAUAGGACGUUCGAUCCUAUUUUGUUGGUUUCUAGGAUUGACGUAAUGAUUAAUAGGGAUAGUUGGGGGCAUUAGUAUUCAAUUGUCAGAGGUGAAAUUCUUGGAUUUAUUGAAGACUAACUACUGCGAAAGCAUUUGCCAAGGAUGUUUUCAUUAAUCAAGAACGAAAGUUAGGGGAUCGAAGACGAUCAGAUACCGUCGUAGUCUUAACCAUAACUAUGCCGACUAGGGAUCGGAUGAUGUUAAUUUUUUAAUGACUCAUUCGGCGCCUUACGGGAACA
rnacentral:rRNA from 1 species